AUUCAUAGAUUGAUAAAAAUGGUUCUCUCUUCCACUUUAGCCGGAGAUCUUCCUUACACAAUUUUGAGAUUAGGUCUCUGAGGUUAGCUUCCGCAAUUCGUCGCCAUCGCCGCUAGCUCUACCCAUUGCGAAUCAGUGUCCCAGAUAAUGAGAAGGAUGAAUGGGUGACACUUCUUCUUGAUGGCUCUCUCUAAGAUCAUGUUUAGUCCACUUUGCUCUACUACAAUUUGCAGGACAAUUUAUAUUGCCUUUGACAUUCAGUAGUAUACAAAUUAUAAUCUUUUGGAUAUGAUGUAAUGUUUUAUGCUCAUAAUUUUGCAAACUAGAUUGUCUUUGAGCAUAGAUAUGAGUAAUUGGACAUGAAUACUUAUAUUAUUUCUAGUGAUAUUUCAUGUGUAUGGACAAAGUUUGAUCUCAGUAAUCAAAAACUCUUUUGAUUAUUAGAAUAUAAAUAUGUUAUAAUGUUUA